UAACACGCAGUCGUCGGAUGACGAGGAAGCGGAGGAUGACAUCUUUCUCACACAUCUGCCCCGUUGAUUCUUUAUCACAGCGACACAUGCACGACACAGUCGGCACGGAAUCGCGUGUUUAGAUGGACCGCGUUGGAUUCGGGAGGUGAGGUGCGGACAACUGCACUCAUCAAGUCAGCCAUCUUAACUUUCAAAAUGCUGAAUAUGGUUAAUUCUAACAAACAUCAAAGCGGCGUGGAAAACCAGGAGACCAUCUUGAAGUCACCACCGCCAAUAUGUAUGGAGAAAUGGGAGCCAAUGCACCAGGCCAGGCGUCUGCUGGGCCUUUCAUGCACUUCCCCUGGAUAAGAACAAGGGCGAGCAAGGAUGCUGGGAGGUGAAGCAGAGAAUGAGGAAUUUAAGAGUGCCCAGAAGAAAGUGACGGACGGCAAGGAAGUCGUUGGGGGAUGCCAAGGAUUAAAAAGAACUCCACCGUGGGUGACCUUUGAAUAAACAUGAUAGUUGUAUUUUCAAACGGAUAAUGGCCAAUAGCUGGCUCCUACUUUACUUUAACAAACUCCCAUUAAGACCAGACAAGCACCAGUUAAAGCAUGUAAAUGAAAAUCUGUUUUUUUUUUAAUCGUUCAGACUAAUUUGAUGUCUCGUACGUUUGUGUUCUAUUUGUCCACCUGCUGAUCGCCAUUCCUCUUAGGGGAAACCAAAACAACAACGAGCGCUUUGUCCGGGCUUCAGCUGCUUGGCAAAGUCGCUGAGAGCGACUUAUGCUCGGCCGCGGUUCACCUCAUGACAAAAAAUGACGCAAGAUUGAGGAAGAGAAAAAUAUUCUCUUGCCUCUGGCAAGGCUGCUCUGACACUCACCUCUGUCAGAUGUGCCUCUGGGGAGGCUCGCCUUACUCUUGCUGGAGGUGCCACUCUAAAAAGUGCCUUGAUAUCAUUCGGCUGGAUAUCUUCUCUUUUAUACAACAUUUAAUUGUCUAAAUUGAACCGUUUAUAGUGUGUGUGUGUGUGUGUGUGUGUGUGUGUGUGCGUGUGUGCAUGCGCGUGCGCGUGCGCGCACGCGCACGCGCGUGCGUGCGUGUGCGUGCGUGUGCGUGCGUGUGCGUGCGCGUGCGUGUGCGUGCGUGUGCGUGCGUGUGCGUGCGUGUGUGUGCGUGUGUGUGCGCGUGUGUGCGCGUGUGUGCGCGUGUGUGCGUGUGUGUGCAGUACAUAAGAAGCAUAAUUAGAGUAGUGUAAAGAUUCCCAAAAUGUCACUUAAAUAGUGUCAUAUAUACCGUAAUUUUCAGACUAUAAGACGCGUUUUUUUUCAUCGUUUGGGUGGGGGGGCGACUUAUACUCAGGAGCAACUUAUAUACAUAUAUAUGUUUUUUUUUCACUUUUUUGGGCAUUUUAUGGCUGGUGCGACUUAUACUCCGGUGCGAUUUAUAGUCCGAAAAUUACGGUACUAUAUAUAUAUAGACACUUAUCCGGUGAAGAAGAAAAAAAAAAAGAUACUAAACAAAAAAUGCUAUCUGGCAAGAAUGAUUAAAACGAUAAGCUCUCUGCUGUCUGUUAUCAGUCCAGAUAUGUCAACUUGUUGUAUCAGUUGGACUUUAAAACUUUAAAAGGAAACACUUUGGUAAGAUGGCCGUGCGUACAUCUGGGAGCUUCUCUUCUGCUUCGAUUUCCAGAGAUGAUGCCAAAUUUCUGCCUCUGAGGACACGUCUUCCCGGUCGGUGGUUCAAGGCACACGGAUAUCUGCUAGAUAGAUAGUAGCUACCUUUCUUUAAGCAUACAAAAUGUAUUAUGAGUCCACAGUAUGAGUAUUAUGAGUAAGAAAAAGCUCAUUGGUAUCAUUGAAUUCUUUCAUCCACUCUCAAAUGGAGGAAACAUUUUACUAGGAAUCAGGCUGAGCAGAAUCAAUAAUGGAAUCAUUCAAUUUAUACUCAUCACCAUUAAAAAAUCAUAACAAGACAUGAAAGAGG